AGCCUAACACAUAGUACGUGUUUGUUGGCGAUUGAAAGAGUUUUGAUAAUGAUGCAGCUAUCUUAGAGAAGUUGGACACCAAACACAGAUAGUAUGACGAAAAGCCGAAGGAACUGCACACUUCUAUUUUUUAGUGUGUGCCACGCUGUACUCAGUCCUGUAGCUAUUGGACUGAUCACCACAUCUUUAAACACCAGCAGACUGCUGUGCCUUUCUAGAUUGGUGACCAAACAAGUCAAUUAAAAUGUGUGGCUACUAAAAUUGGAUCAUGA